GUCGAGUCGCACCGGUCACUCUGAAGUCCCCCAUUUCACUGCACAUUUAAACACGUUUGCCGUCGUAGUCCACUUCAUACUGACGUUUCAGUCGAAACAUUUUUUGCUUCAAAUACGGAAAAACUUAGCAGUCAUGGAUAUAACUUCAACCAGACUACAAAGUCAAAUUGGCGCCAAUUCAAACUGGGCAUUAAUGUAUAGAAAUAAAGUUUUUAAUCCCGAGGAUGAAGAUCUGAAGAUCACCAAACAAUUAUCUCAAUUGCACAUAACUAUAGAGCAAAGAAAA